CAGAACAUCCGUAAUCGGUGCUAUCUUCCCAUUGACUUCUACCCUAGGAAACAUUAUGGUUGCCCUGGAGUGCUGGGCCAAAUUCCUAUUAGUUUAAAGUGGAUACAAUUGCACUGAUUAAAGCUAAGUCCAUGUACAGGUAUAGUUAUAGCCUUCAUAUUUAUUAGAAAUAUUACAGCGUAAAAGUGAACAUGCAGGGGUAAAUGAUAUCAGCUGUGCUUGUAUGACUUUACAGAAUUGUAAAACCAUCUUAAUUCGGUUAGCUUCCUGUCCACUUCUUCAUUGUUCCAGAACUAGACAAUGUAUUGCCCUGGGAGCUUCCUGAUCCUCUUGUCUGUCUGCCUUAUUGCUACAUCCCUUGGUAAUCACCAAAGUAACAGCCACCAAUGCUUUGAAAGCGUGCAGUGGAGUGAGCUUUUAAAGGAGAUUGAGAAACUGAACAAAAGAGGCUUUUCUUUGGAAUGUGAGGAAGUGAGCAGCGAAGAUUUGUGUUUCCCUGAGAAGAUGCUAAAAGCAGUUAAAUAUGAUAGUGCCGCCAUUGUUCAUAUAGUGCAUGAAAUUGCUGAGUUUUUCAAGAGAGCAGACGCACCUUUUCAAAAUAAGAACAAUUUUCUAAGAACAAUAUAUGAAGCUCAUGCUCAGCUCAAGACUUGUCUGAAGUCUGGACUUAACAUUAUCCAUGAAUCCAUAGUGAAGGACUGCUUCAAAAAAAUGGAUAAGUUGGUGGCCAAGGUAAGCAGGCUGUUUCUCAACUUAUAUUUUCCAUAGUAAUGGAUGUUACCUUUUACAAAACAACUAAUAAGCUUUUUAAUAAUAUUUUCUUCACAGAAAAAUGAUCACUGUACUUGGCAAGAGAUCCACGCACAAUCCAGAGAGUUACUUCAAAGAAUUGAAAACUACUCUUUCAAGAGAAGAUCAACACAAUAAGAAUGUCAGUUUCAAUCAAAUAAUUUGAGGAUCA
rnacentral:lncRNA from 1 species